rnacentral:rRNA from 1 species
UGGGGAAUCUUGCACAAUGGGGGCAACCCUGAUGCAGCGACGCCGCGUGAGCGAUGAAGCCCUUCGGGGUGUAAAGCUCUUUCGGCAGGGAAGAUGAUGACGGUACCUGCAGAAGCAGCUGCGGCUAACUACGUGCCAGCAGCCGCGGUAAUACGUAGGCAGCAAGCGUUGUUCGGAGUUACUGGGCGUAAAGGGUGUGUAGGCGGUUUUUUAAGUUUGGUGUGAAAUCUCCCGGCUCAACUGGGAGGGUGCGCCGAAUACUGAAAGACUAGAGUGCGGGAGAGGAAAGUGGAAUUCCUGGUGUAGCGGUGAAAUGCGUAGAUAUCAGGAGGAACACCGGUGGUGUAGACGGCUUUCUGGACCGUAACUGACGCUGAGACACGAAAGCGUGGGUAGCAAACAGGAUUAGAUACCCGCGUAGUCC